rnacentral:rRNA from 1 species
AAGGUGGGAAUCCUUCCGGCCGAAUAUCUAAGGUUUCCAGAGUAAAGCUGAUCUGCUCUGGGUAAGUCGGGGCCUAAGGAGAGGUCGAAAGACGUAUCCGAUGGACAACAGGUUUAGAUUCCUGUACCACAUAUAAACAGAACUGUGGGGACGCAUGUGGAAAGCAUAAGCCGGGAAUGGAAAUACCGGUACAAACGGAAGAGGUGUCAGGCUGGCAAAUCCGCCUGGCAAGCCAAAGACGUGAUGUGGAGCGAAAUAAAAGUAGCGAAGUAUGUGAGCCAUGUGCCGAGAAAAGCCGCUAUUGUUUUAUAUGUGCCCGUACCGUAAACCGACACAGGUGGAUGAGGAGAGAAUCCUAAGGCCGACGGAAGAAGCAUUGUUAAGGAACUCGGCAAAAUGACCCCGUAACUUCGGGAGAAGGGGUGCCCACUUCAGGUGGGCCGCAGAGAAUAGGCUCAAGCAACUGUUUAGCAAAAACACAGGUCUAUGCGAAACCGUAAGGUGAAGUAUAUGGGCUGACGCCUGCCCGGUGCUGGAAGGUUAAGAGGAGAGGUUAGUCGCAAGAUGAAGCUUUGAAUUUAAGCCCCAGUAAACGGCGGCCGUAACAAUAACGGUCCUAAGGUAGCGAAAUUCCUUGUCGGGUAAGUUCCGACCCGCACGAAAGGCGUAAUGAUUUGAGCACUGUCUCGACAAUGCAUCCGGUGAAAUUGAAGUACCAGUGAAGAUGCUGGUUACCCGCGCCAGGACGGAAAGACCCCAUGGAGCUUUACUCCAGUUUGGUACUGGGAUUCGGUACUGCAUGUACAGGAUAGGUGGGAGACUGAGAAAUUGGAACGCCAGUUUCAAUGGAGUCACUGUUGGGAUACCACCCCUGCAGUAUUGGGUUUCUAACCAGCCGCUGUGAUCCAGCGGUGGGACAAUGCCAGGCGGGGAGUUUGACUGGGGCGGUCGCCUCCGAAAGGGUAUCGGAGGCGCUCAAAGGUUCCCUCAGAAUGGUCGGAAACCAUUUGAAGAGUGCAAAGGCAGAAGGGAGCUUGACUGCGACACCGACGGGUGGAGCAGGUACGAAAGUAGGACUUAGUGAUCCGGUGGCAUAAAGUGGGAUUGCCAUCGCUCAACGGAUAAAAGCUACCUGGGAUAACAGGCUUAUCACUCCCAAGAGUUCACAUCGACGGAGUGGUUUGGCACCUCGAUGUCGGCUCAUCGCAUCCUGGGGCUGUAGCAGGUCCCAAGGGUUGGGCUGUUCGCCCAUUAAAGCGGUACGCGAGCUGGGUUCAGAACGUCGUGAGACAGUUCGGUCCCUAUCCGGCGCGGGCGGAGGAUAUUUGAGAGGAGCUGUCCUUAGUACGAGAGGACCGGGAUGGACGGACCACUGGUGUAUCUGCUGUCGACCAACGGCAUGGCAGAGUAGCCAAGUCCGGAAGGGAUAAACGCUGAAGGCAUCUAAGCGUGAAGCCCCCCUCAAGAUGAGAUAUCCCUUCCAUAAGGAAGUAAGAUCCCUUGAAGAGUGCAAGGUAGAUAGGGCAGAGGUGGAAGCACGGUAACGUGUGGAGCUGACUGUUACUAAUCGAUCGAGGGCUUGACC